rnacentral:rRNA from 1 species
GAUGAACGCUGGCGGCGUGCCUAAUACAUGCAAGUCGAGCGACCGGACGAGAAGCUUGCUUCCCUGAUGUUAACGGCUGACGGGGUAGUCAUACGUGGAUAACCUACCUAUAAAACUGGGAUAACUUCGGGAAACCGCAUCUAAUACCGGAUAAUAUUUUGAACCGCAUGGUUCAAAAGUGAAAGACGGUCUUGCUGUCUCUUAUAGAUGGAUCCGCGCUGCAUGAACAAGUUGGUAAGGUAACGGCUUACCAAGGCAACGAUGCAUAGCCGACCUGAGAGGGUGAACGGACACACUGUAUCUGAGACACGGUCCAGACUCCGACGGGAGGCAGCAGUAGGGAAUCUUCCGCAAUGGGCGAGUGCCUGAUGGAGCAACGUCGCGUGAGUGAUGAAGGACUUAUGAUCGGAAAGCUAUGUUAGUAUGGAAGUAGAUAAGUUUAAGUACCUGUGAACAUCUUGACGGUACCUAAAGAGAAAGCCACGGCUAACUACGUG